rnacentral:rRNA from 1 species
UACGUAGGCAGCGAGCGUUGUUCGGAGUUACUGGGCGUAAAGGGUGUGUAGGCGGUUGUUUAAGUUUGGUGUGAAAUCUCCCGGCUCAACUGGGAGGGUGCGCCGAAUACUGAAUGACUAGAGUGCGGGAGAGGAAAGUGGAAUUCCUGUGUAGCGGUGAAAUGCGUAGAUAUCAGGAGGAACACCGGUGGUGUAGACGGCUUUCUGGACCGUAACUGACGCUGAGACACGAAAGCGUGGGUAGCAAACAGG